GGAAGGAUCAUUGACGCGAUAAAAAAAAAAAAAAAAAAAACACACACACACUUGUUUGUUUUUUUUUUUUUUUUUUUUUUUUUAAACCCCCCCUUUUUAAAAAACUGUUGUGUCGUUGGGAGAGAGAGAGAAGAGAGAGAAGAGAGAAUUGAAAGAUUUCCUCCUCCUCCUUUUUUUCUCUCCCAGAGACAUGAAAAAAACCAAACGCUUAGGCAACCCUCCUCCCCUGCUGAAGGGAAAAGAAAGCCCCUGCGAAAUUGAAGAAAAAGAGAGACCUUUGGUCAAAAGAAAAGAAACCCGAGACGACUCUUGACGACGGAUGUCUCGGCUCUCACAAGGAUGAAGAACGCGGCGAAACGCGACACGUGGUGCGAAUCGCGGAGAUCAGCGAGUCAUCGAGUCUUCGAACGCAGCCCGCGCCCUCGGCCUGACCGGGGGCGCGCCCGCCCGAGCGUCGCCGAAACGCAAUUCGAGCCCUUUUUAUUUAAGGGCGCGGAACGCCCAGGCUUUUGUCGACCGAUGAUAAAUUGAAUUGGUCGUCGCCUGAGAUAUAGCGCGCGAGCAAACCCCGCAGUUGUAGACAACAAGGGGCGGUGAUGAAUGAAAAGUAGGUAGCUGGAUUCGAUCCUUUUUUCACUACUAUCUUUUCUUCUUCCUGCAAUGGCAAUGAGGUAGGAGGAAAAUGCAAGUUUUCUUUUCGAUCGAAAUUGCUUCUGCAUUGUGGAGAGGAAAAGAAGUUGAUUGAAGGUCUUUUCAGAUUUUUUCCUCUUUUUUUUAUUCAGCACCCGCCAUCUGGAUGACAGAUGGUCGUGGUUCCUCUUGUUGUUUUUUUUUACGAUUGCCUUUUAGUGAGGGUUUUUUUGGCGCAGCGCCGGAGAGAAUCCAAUAGAGAGGUCUCUUUUUUUUUUUAAAAGAGGCGAGAGGGUACACCGGAGAUUUUUCUCGGGAAAGAAAAAAAAAUUUUUCUUUCUUCUUUCCCGCACCGGCCGACCUCGGGUCGGGCGACAUCACCCGCCGAACUUAAGCAUAUCACUAAGCGGAGGAGAAGAAACCAACUGGGAUCCCCUCGGUAACGGCGAGCGAAGAGGGGAGAGCUCAGGCCCGUAAUCUGGAUGCCCAUCCGCGGUGUCCCGAAUUGUGGUCUCGAGGCGGUCCGUCGCCGGGGCUGUACCUGGGUGCGAGAUCCCCUGGAACGGGGUGCCGCGGAGGGUGAGAGCCCCGUGCGCGUCCAGGCCGGGAAGGCGACGAUACAGCCCCUCCCCUUCAGGGGAGCGUCGGGCCGCCCCAGAGUCGGACUGCCCGGGAGCGCAGUCCGAAGUGGGUGGUGGACCCCAUCUAAAGCUAAAUAUUGGUGAGAGACCGAUAGCGAACAAGUACCGUGAGGGAAAGAUGAAAAGAACUCUGAGAAGAGAGUUAAAAGCGCCUGAAAUCGUCAGGAGGGAAGCGUUCGAGGUCAGCGGGUCGCCUCGGAACCCUCUCGGGAGCGUUUGGCGGUUCGACGACCGGGGGACGGCCGAGCGAGCCUUCGGGUUUUGCCACCGUUCUCAGGCCAGCGGAUCGUCCGUUUCAACGAGGGUUUCGAGGCGGGCCGGCGCCGGCUCGAUCGGCGGGAGGUCGGCUGUGAGGGAGGCGCGGCAGGCUCGAGGCCUUGGUGUUUCGGUCUGCCGACGCCCCUCACGGUUCGCGCCGUCGAUCGGGCCGAGGAAGCAAAACCGCACGGGCCCGCGCCUUCUUCGGAGGGCGAGGCGGAUCCUAUUUCCGAUUGAGGAACCGGCGGUGAGGGUCGGGAACCGACGCUCAUCGGCGCUCUUUUAUCUCGAGGUAGGCCGUCCCUCAGCGUGGCCGGCGGCGCCGACGGAAUGGCCCCGACCGACCCGUCUUGAAACACGGACCAAGGAGUCCGACGCGCGCGCGAGCGUUAAGGUGAACGAAACCUAAGGACGCGGAGCGAAAGCAAAGCGGUACAAUCCCACGGGAUAGUACCCGAGGUGGGAAGACUUUUGACUUAGCGUCAAAGUCGGCACCAUCGGCCGAUCCGGAUCUCUUCAGAAGGAUUCGAGCGGGAGCGCGCUCGUCGGGACCCGAAAGAUCGCGAACUAUGGGCGGCCAGGAUGAAGCCAGAGGAAACUCUGGUGGAGGUCCGAAGCGGUACUGACGUGCAAAUCGUUCGUCCGAGCUGCCUAUAGGGGCGAAAGACUAAUCGAGCGAUCUAGUAGCUGGUUCCCUC
rnacentral:misc_RNA from 1 species